rnacentral:rRNA from 1 species
AGAGUUUGAUCAUGGCUCAGAGUGAACGCUGGCGGCAUGCCUAACACAUGCAAGUCGAACGGUAACAGGCCCGCAAGGGUGCUGACGAGUGGCGGACGGGUGAGGAAUACAUCGGAAUUUGCCCAGUCGUGGGGGGAUAACGUAGGGAAACUUACGCUAAUACCGCAUACGACCUAACGGUGAAAGCGGGGGAUCGCAAGACCUCGCGCGAGUGGAUGAGCCGGUGUCGGAUUAGCUAGUUGGCGGGGUAAAGGCCCACCAAGGCGACGAUCCGUAGCUGGUCUGAGAGGAUGAUCAGCCACACUGGGACUGAGACACGGCCCAGACUCCUACGGGAGGCAGCAGUGGGGAAUAUUGGACAAUGGGGGCAACCCUGAUCCAGCAAUGCCGCGUGUGUGAAGAAGGCCUUCGGGUUGUAAAGCACUUUUAUCCGGAACGAAACGCGCAGGGUGAAUAUCCUUGCGAACUGACGGUACCGGAGGAAUAAGCACCGGCUAACUUCGUGCCAGCAGCCGCGGUAAUACGAAGGGUGCAAGCGUUACUCGGAAUUACUGGGCGUAAAGGGUGCGUAGGUGGUUGUUUAAGUCUGUUGUGAAAGCCCCGGGCUCAACCUGGGAAUGGCAAUGGAUACUGGACAGCUAGAGUGCGGUAGAGGGUAGUGGAAUUCCCGGUGUAGCAGUGAAAUGCGUAGAGAUCGGGAGGAACACCAGUGGCGAAGGCGGCUACCUGGACCAGCACUGGCACUGAAGCACGAAAGCGUGGGGAGCAAACAGGAUUAGAUACCCUAGUAGUCC